AAAAAACAUGAACUGCCAUUUGAUUUUCCACUCAAUUGCAUCUACCAACUGGCAGACAGACCAACUGAGAGAGUCCGUCCGUUCAGUAGCUGGAUUCGCCAUGGGUGUGCCCCAGGAGUGUUAGCAAGGCUAUUUCUCCGGAUCAGAAUAGUCCACAGACAGCAACUCUCUGAGGGAAGGCUCCACAACUGAACUAGUAAGACGUGCCUCUGCUUAAAAUAAUCAUAAGGAAUUUCUCCCUUCUCUUCUAUGGGUCUUAACCUUCUAAUUAGCCACCUCUUUAUCCUCUGAGAAUAUCUCAAGUCCAUGUCUGAUAAGCCACUUCUCAGCAGGGAGAGAACUGCAUCUUAAAAUGGAUUUGAUACUUCUUAGUAAACUGACAAAUCAGCCGAGGGGUGAGUCAAAUGAAAAUUUUAGGACUAUCGCCCUGCAAAAAAGGUGAUGAUUGCUAUAGGUUGGGAGAGUUAUAAUCUGUCAGAAUCUUCUGUUGCAAGGAACAGCUUAGCCACACAGCAGUGCUCCAUGGCGGCUGCCGUCAAGAAUCUAAACACGGCUUGGAAUUCUCUGAGGAUGUUAUUCAUAAAGGCACAGUUAAUCAAACUCAGACCUCUCUUCAGAAUCUCACUGUACAAGCCAAACUUAUUGCCAAUAGAAGGAAGGUGCCAGACCAGAGAAGGGAGAUCUCUACAUAUGAAAGGUGAAGUAACUUGAUUUCAGUUGUUUUGGAACUAACUUGGAGUGGUGAGAAACUACAGCAUUGUCGUGUUCUCACUAUCAGAGGAAUAAAAUUGUCACACCUUCUAAAUAGCAGAAUAAGCCAAACUCAACAAUCAAAGCCUUGUUUUUCUGUGAAUGAUCUUGAGCAGUCCCUUGAGAAAGAGUUGGGUGGAGAAUAUAAGCGUAUAAAUAGAGAACAAAAAGAUUGGCUCAUCUUACUAUGGGUGCAUCCAAGUUCCAUGAGUUACGCCAGAUUGUGUCAAUGGAGCGUGGAUGGGGCAAAGAGAGGCAUCCAUCAUCUGCUGCUAAGCACAUUAUUGAAUCUGGUGCUUCGCUAUUGCUCUUCUUCUGUGUUUGCAUCCAUUGAGGUGACUGAAUGCCCAUCUGCUGAGGGUAUCCUUUUAUUCAGACCAUGAGACCUUUGGGUCUUCCAAUUCUCAAUAUCACAUCUGAUCAUUUACCAUGAAAAAAUAUUUGGCUGUAUCCACAUCUUUGAGGGAGUCUCAGGGACUCUGGGAGGGUACCUAAGGUCUAUCUCACUUAGAUACACCAUGCAGCAAUUUCAGUUCCUCUCUCUUAUGCAUGGUGGAGUAGACAAGUUUGGAGCUUGCUCACCUUCCACCCCUGGAAAUUACCUUGGAAAGUGAGGGCAUAGCAGGAUGAAAGUCUGGCUCAGAGAGCAGCAUAAGUAACUUACUCUCUUUCUUCCUGUCCAGCUCUUCUUUCCUCAACCCAAACUUAAAGGAUCUUGUUUUAAUCUGAUGAGUUGAUACAAGAGAUGAAUAGAACUAGUUCCACCCAAACACAUAUUCUCAGAUAUUUAAAUUAAUCCUUCCAAUAUUGCUCUGCCACAGCAAAAUAGAUUAAAGGUUAUUAAAUAAAAAUCAAAUACUUUUACUGUUCUCCCUUUCUUCAAGUAGUAAACAGAUUUUUAUUCAAUAACCUUUAAUCUGUCAAGAAAUAAUUUCAUAAAACUCUACAGAAAAGUAAGGAGACAAAACAGUGAAAGGGGAAUAAGAAAUUUAAGAACUUAGAGACUAUUAUUUUGAUU
rnacentral:lncRNA from 10 species